rnacentral:rRNA from 1 species
UUGGCGGCAGGCCUACACAUGCAAGUCGAGCGGAAACGAUGGAAGCUUGCUUCCAGGCGUCGAGCGGCGGACGGGUGAGUAAUGCAUAGGAAUCUGCCCGAUAGUGGGGGAUAACCUGGGGAAACCCAGGCUAAUACCGCAUACGUCCUACGGGAGAAAGCAGGGGAUCUUCGGACCUUGCGCUAUCGGAUGAGCCUAUGUCGGAUUAGCUAGUUGGUGAGGUAAUGGCUCACCAAGGCCGCGAUCCGUAGCUGGUCUGAGAGGAUGAUCAGCCACAUCGGGACUGAGACACGGCCCGAACUCCUACGGGAGGCAGCAGUGGGGAAUAUUGGACAAUGGGCGAAAGCCUGAUCCAGCCAUGCCGCGUGUGUGAAGAAGGCUUUCGGGUUGUAAAGCACUUUCAGUGGGGAAGAAAUCCUCGGGGCCAAUACCCUCGAGGGAGGACAUCACCCACAGAAGAAGCACCGGCUAACUCCGUGCCAGCAGCCGCGGUAAUACGGAGGGUGCGAGCGUUAAUCGGAAUUACUGGGCGUAAAGCGCGCGUAGGCGGCGUGAUAAGCCGGUUGUGAAAGCCCCGGGCUCAACCUGGGAACGGCAUCCGGAACUGUCAGGCUAGAGUGCAGGAGAGGAAGGUAGAAUUCCCGGUGUAGCGGUGAAAUGCGUAGAGAUCGGGAGGAAUACCAGUGGCGAAGGCGGCCUUCUGGACUGACACUGACGCUGAGGUGCGAAAGCGUGGGUAGCAAACAGGAUUAGAUACCCUGGUAGUCCACGCCGUAAACGAUGUCGACUAGCCGUUGGGG